AUUGAGAUUGCGUUCUCCAGCUGAUCGACUAUAAUUAUACUGUGCUCAAAUGUAAUCCUUUAUCAGAGGAUUCCAAACCAGAAAUCUGGUCGAC
rfam:Triticum aestivum genome assembly, contig: Triticum_aestivum_CS42_TGACv1_scaffold_272457_3DS